CUUGACGACCAUAGAGCGUUGGAACCACCUGAUCCCAUCCCGAACUCAGUAGUGAAACGACGCAUCGCCGAUGGUAGUGUGGGGCUUCCCCAUGUGAGAGUAGGUCAUCGUCAAGC
rnacentral:rRNA from 11 species